rnacentral:rRNA from 1 species
GACGAACGCUGGUGGCGUGCUUAACACAUGCAAGUCGAACGGAAAGGCCCUGCUUUUGUGGGGUGCUCGAGUGGCGAACGGGUGAGUAACACGUGAGUAACCUGCCCUUGACUUUGGGAUAACUUCAGGAAACUGGGGCUAAUACCGGAUAGGAGCUCCUGCUGCAUGGUGGGGGUUGGAAAGUUUCGGCGGUUGGGGAUGGACUCGCGGCUUAUCAGCUUGUUGGUGGGGUAGUGGCUUACCAAGGCUUUGACGGGUAGCCGGCCUGAGAGGGUGACCGGCCACAUUGGGACUGAGAUACGGCCCAGGCUCCUACGGGAGGCAGCAGUGGGGAAUAUUGCACAAUGGGCGGAAGCCUGAUGCAGCAACGCCGCGUGCGGGAUGACGGCCUUCGGGUUGUAAACCGCUUUCGCCUGUGACGAAGCGUGAGUGACGGUAAUGGGUAAAGAAGCACCGGCUAACUACGUG